rnacentral:rRNA from 1 species
UACGUAGGGGGCAAGCGUUGUCCGGAAUCAUUGGGCGUAAAGCGCGUGUAGGCGGCUUCGUCAGUCCGUUGUGAAAGUCCAGGGCUCAACCCUGGAAUGCCGAUGGGUACUGCGGAGCUAGAGUCCGGAAGAGGCGAGUGGAAUUCCUGGUGUAGCGGUGAAAUGCGCAGAUAUCAGGAGGAACACCAAUGGCGAAGGCAGCUCGCUGGGACGGUACUGACGCUGAGACGCGAAAGCGUGGGGAGCAAACAGG